AGGGGUGUAGCUCAAUUGGUAGAGUAGUGGACUCCAAAUCCAUUGGUUGCGGGUUCGAUUCCUGCCGCCCCUGCCA
rnacentral:tRNA from 1 species